rnacentral:rRNA from 1 species
GACGAACGCUGGCGGCGUGCUUAACACAUGCAAGUCGAACGGAAAGGCCCUGCUUUUGUGGGGUGCUCGAGUGGCGAACGGGUGAGUAACACGUGAGUAACCUGCCCUUGACUUUGGGAUAACUUCAGGAAACUGGGGCUAAUACCGGAUAGGAGCUCCUGCUGCAUGGUGGGGGUUGGAAAGUUUCGGCGGUUGGGGAUGGACUCGCGGCUUAUCAGCUUGUUGGUGGGGUAGUGGCUUACCAAGGCUUUGACGGGUAGCCGGCCUGAGAGGGUGACCGGCCACAUUGGGACUGAGAUACGGCCCAGACUGCUACGGGAGGCAGCAGUGGGGAAUAUUGCACAAUGGGCGGAAGCCUGAGGCAGCAACGCCGCGUGCGGGAUGACGGCCUUCGGGUGGUAAACCGCUUUCGCCUGUGACGAAGCGUGAGUGACGGUAAUGGGUAAAGAAGCACCGGCUAACUACGUG